rnacentral:lncRNA from 1 species
CGCCGGGCUGCGGUGAGGCGGAGAGCGGCGUGCGGUGAGCGCGGGCAGAUGAGGAAGACGGAGCUUUAGCCGGGAAGCCUUUUCAAAGCCCCUUGCCACGGUAACAAUGAGCUCUCCAAGCACCGCACAAGUUCAGAAGAAAGCCGGAGAGGAUUUCUGACCAAAGCACAGAGCAAGCGGCAUGGAGGAAUUGAAUCGGCAUGGCCCAAGGUGAAAGAAGAGGGAUGGUCGUUUGAUGGAGAGUGCUUUUGUUACGGCCUGCAGAGCCUUUGGUGCAUCCUUUUUAUUCCUUCAGGAUUUGUUAUGUUUUGUAGCACUAAGCUUAGGCCGUCCUUCUGGGCUGAUGGGUGGAGCAGUGGCUGGAUAAGGAAGUGGCUAGAUGGUGGCACUCAGGGAGCUGCAGUCGGCGGCUCAGUGUCCAAGUGGAGCGCGGUGACGAGCGGCGUUCCUCAGGGCUCAGUGCUGGGAGUGGUGAUGGGAGCGGUGCCCUUGAACAUCUUGAUUAGGCGACAGGGAGUGUGGGAUCGUGUGCACCCUCGUCGUGUGUGCAGGCGAUACUGAGCUGAGUGGUGCAGGUGAGGCGUUAGAGGGAAGGGAUGCUAUCCAGAGGGACGUGGAGAGCCUUAGAGGUGGGCCCAUGCCAGCGUGAGGAAGUUCAGCGAGGCCGAGAGCAAGGCCCUGCAUUUGGGUCGGGGUGAUCUCAAGCACUGACGUGGGUUGGGUGGAGAAUGGCUGGAGAGCGGCCCCGUGGAGAAGGAUUUGGGAGUGUGGACUGCUGAGAGAUUGAGCGCGAGCUGGCAAGGUGUGCUCGCUGCCCAGAAGGCCAAGCGUAGCCUGGGUUGCAUGAAGAGGAAGAAGCGUGGAAGUGGGAGAGUGUAUGUUUAGACCAGGUGUUGGGAAGAAGUUCCUUACUGUGAGGCUGCCAUGGCAGACGUUUUCUUUGGAAUAUACAAGUGGUGUUCCAGGUAUCCUGUCAGGUCUUCAACAGUCACAUCAUCGACAUAGGUGGGAGCCUCCUCAGAAUAGGAUGUGGGAGAAGUCCACGAGGCUGUUUCACAGAGGGGUCUGUUAAGCGUGGAUAAGGAGAAACAAGCUGAGGUUUGGCUGUUGUGUGAGUCAGAGUGGAAGGAUGAGGGCAGAGCGAGGCAGUUCUCCCGUGACAGAGCGCAGUGUCUCCUGGUGGAGGCAGAAAUCCCCACCGUGCUCAGUGCUGUUCCCUGCCACCACGUCAGCCCACAUCCCCUGCUGGGGACAGCGUGCUGCCAGCAUAUGCCGGGUCACCUGCUGUCCGUGGGGACCGGGUAACGGCACGGAGCAGUGUGAGGACUGCAGCCCCGCUUAGC